rnacentral:lncRNA from 1 species
UUUUUUGCCUUGUGCUGAAAAUAAAUGUCGACUGGUAUCUAUUUUAUGACUUGAGCUUUUUAAAGGUAGUGUGUGUGGUGAGGUCGGGGUUGGGGAGGAGGAAGCUUCAAGUCCUCAGAAAAGCCGGCUGGGUCCUGGGGACUGACCACGAGGGUGAGUGAUGGCAGGCACGCGAUGGCAGCGUGAGGCAGCUGGCCUGCAGCGGGGAGGCCGAAACAACCCGCAGCAGCUGCACAAACGCAAGAGGUCAGGCCGUGUUUGUGGACGCUGACUUCUCCCUAGGCACCCCUGGACGGUGGGAUACAUCAAAGCCCCACACCCAGGAAUAACACCCAGGGGAUGGAUGGUCUGUGUAUAAACCCCAUCCCAAGAUGCUGACCCAGGAGUUAGCUGCCAGCCCUCCGAGGGUGGAGUUACCUUCCUCCUGCACGUGCUAUUUCUGGAAGUAGGUUGUGUGAUGGAGGAGGAAAUAACCCAUAUUCCAAUAGUAUUGAGAAGGUAAAAUUCAAGUUAGUUUUCCUAUGCUACGUGGCCACUUUCUUUUUCUGAUGGAAGUGCCUUUUAACAGUCAACAGAUUUUGGUGAAGCCCCUGCAAUACACCAGCCACUGAGGCUAAGGGGUGACGACACAGAUCCUCAGGUUGAGGUGAGUCAGGAAGGGUUUCCCUAUGGGUUCCAUAUUAUACCUCUUUUCUUAUAACUAUCAUACUUGAGGUUGUGGAAUAUCUUUUUAGCCAAAGGCCUAUUACGAGAAAAACUAAUUUAAAAAAAAAAGAUAGGAAAAUAUAGUCUCUAAGAUCUAGGAGCUAAGAUGACGAUUAUUUUUAAUUGUUGCUUGUUGAAAUGGUUGGAAAUGUCUAAGAAAGACAGUUUUAUAUGGCAAGAGGAGGAGACCAUGAUACACUGAGGAAAACCAGGACAAAAGUUAUAAGGGCCAUUUUGAACAAGAGAAUGUUCCAAUUGUGUUUGUAAAGUGCUUGACAGUGCUUGACCCCCAAGAUGGGACAGUGAGAUUUCUGGACUGUUUUAUAUUGAAAGGAAGGCUCCAGUUUUUAAAUGAGUUGGGCUCCAAAAGCUGACCCGGAAGUCUGUGUCGUGGAAUGUAGACUGCUCUGCUGCAUAAGAACAUAAGGCAUAUUUAGGGCCGGGCGCGGUGGCUCAUGCCUGUCAUCCCAGCACUUUCGGAGGCUGAGGUGGGCGGAUCAUUUGAAGUCAGGAGUUCGAGACCAGCCUGGCCAACAUAGCGAAACCCUGUCUCUACUAAAAAUACAAAAGUUAGCUGGGUGUGGUGGUGCACGCCUGUAAUUCCAGCUACGUGGGAGACUGAGGGAGGAGAAUCGCUUGAACCAGGCAGGCGGAGAUUGCAGUGAGCCGAGAUCGCACCACUGCACUCCAGCCUGGGCAACAGAGUGAGACUCCACCUCAAAAAAAAGGAUAAAGAAUAUAAGACAUUUAGGGACCCCCACCUGUAGUCCCAGCUACUCAGGAAGGCUGAGGCAGAAGCAUCACCUGAGGCCAGGAGCUCUGGGCUGUAAGUGCGGUUGGCCCAUGGGGAGUCUGCCCUAAGUUCAGCAUCAUUAUGGUGACCUCACUGGAGCAGGGACCACAGGCUGCCUAAGGAGGGGUGAACCAGCCCAGAUGGGAAAUGCAGCAGGUCAAAACUCUUGUGCUGAUCUCCAGUGGGGCUGCAACUGUGAAUAGGCACUGUGCUCCAGCCUGGGCAACAUAGUGAGACCCUGUCUUUUAAAAACCAAAUACAUAUAUUAAAAACCAAAUAUAUAUAUAUAUAUAGUAUUUUUACACUAACAA